AGUAAACGCUGGCGGCAGGCCUAACACAUGCAAGUCGAGCGGCAGCGGGUUCCCGCGAGGGGAUGCCGGCGAGCGGCGGACGGGUGAGGAACACAUCGGAAUCUGCCUGGUUGUGGGGGAUAACGUAGGGAAACUUACGCUAAUACCGCAUGAGACCCUGAGUCGACGGACUGGGGGUGAAAGUGAGGGACCUUCGGGCCUCACGCGACCAGAUGAGCCGAUGUCGGAUUAGCAGUUGGCGGGGUAACGGCCCGCCAAGGCGACGAUCCGUAGCUGGUCUGAGAGGAUGAUCAGCCACACUGGGACUGAGACACGGCCCAGACUCCUACGGGAGGCAGCAGUGGGGAAUCUUGGACAAUGGGCGCAAGCCUGAUCCAGCCAUGCCGCGUGGGU
rnacentral:rRNA from 1 species